rnacentral:misc_RNA from 1 species
CAGGCUUGCUCGGGCGACGUCUCGGUCCUCCGGCGGCUCCUCCUCGAAGGCGUCGUCUGAGGGUCGCGCGUUUCUCGUCUUUGCGUUGGGACGACGCGUGAGUGGCUUUUAGGACGUUAAUCCAGAGCAGGCUCCAUGUUCCUCGCAUCGAACUGCCCUGGCCCGUCCGUUUCAUCGGCUGGCUCUCCUCGGCCCGUUCGGGGCCGUUUGCGGCUGCUUAGUGGGUUCCUGUGCUCGAUAUCGGAACACGGUAGUUGGGGGACGGAUUCCCGUCAAUCCCCGUCAUGGUUCCGUCGAUCCACCUCCUCCCCUCGGGAGUUGGUGGGUAUCGUCGUGCGGGCAUCCGACCUUCUCCAUCGGGAAAGCCGACCCCCUCUCGGGCGCUUCUUCUCGCGAUGGCGCGUAGGUGCUGCCGGGCAUGCUCUCGGGUACGGUGGUGGUUUCGUUGGUUUUCGCAACGGUCCUCGUCGGCCGUUGUGGUCUAGACGUGUCGAAGCGUUAGCGCUUCUGCUCGCGUGACUCUCGUGCUUGUCCAGGGGCUCUCGGCGCUUCACCGUUUCGUGAUCGCCUUGGGGAGGCACGGAGGUCUACGGAGUGACGC